GAAGAAUUGUGGUGGAAAAGAAAAUACCCCAUGAAUUCUAUAUGCUAUUUUCCCCUAGGCUGGAGUUUUGCAGUUCUCUAUGAUUGGUAGAUUUGGUGUUAGCUGGUUGUUCUUGAUGAUCUUCUGGGGGAGGGGACUGUUGUGUUGAUUCUCAAGUGUCUUUGCCUGAGUUGGAAUUGCUCCUC